CCCUCUGGAAGGACAUUCCAGUUGGCUGCCUUCUCUUGAUAGCGUUAGGGAAGUUCUAAGUGUUUGGAGACCAUCCAAAGCUUCAUGGUGGUAGCAGGACUCACUCAACCUUUCUUGCUGCUGCUUUGGAAUAACAUAGGCGCUGCUGGUGACUCAGCCCAGCGGCUCUGAGAAGCCAAGUCUGUGUAGCCAAAGCAAGGUCAGGUCAUUUCCUCAGAACAGAGUAUGCCCCAACAAGCAGAGCAGGUGAGGUAAGCGCCUCUGAAACUCCCAGACAAGAGGCAUGGCCUUCUGGUUCCCUCUAUCGUUUCUCUGAGUGCUUCCCUUAGUAUCACUGGGAGAAACCCGGACUGUUUUAUUUACACAGAAUACUCCCUGGUGUUCUGAACUCUCUUUGCAGCAACCAACCCCCUCUCCCGCCCCCACACCUUUUAGACAUAUCCCUUCCACACUGUAGCCAUUGAACUCGAACAUAUCAUCAGU
rnacentral:lncRNA from 1 species